rnacentral:lncRNA from 1 species
CCUCCACCAGAUCCUUCAUAAAACCGAACUUCCCCAACGGAUCAUCUUCAGGCGAGUUUUCACAUCGGGCGAAUCCUAGACGAACUUCUCUAGCAAUCAGAUUCCUACCGGGCUUCACCAAUGAAAAGUCUCUAUCUGAACUUCUACAGCAGGUGACUCCCACCUGUAGUAUCAAUGCCUAAGGUACCCGACAACAGUAGAUUCGGGGACAUCCGAGCUUCUCCCAGACCAAC